CGAGCGUCAUUUAAGCCCUCAAGCACUGCUUGGUCUUGGGGUGCGGUCCGGUAGGACCCUCCCGCAACCCCUUGGGCGGGACCGUCCGGCUCCAAGCGUAGCACGAUUUAUCCCUCGCUUCGGAGCCCCGGCGGCCUCCGCCCAGAAACCACCCUUCACAGCUUGACCUCGGAUCAGGUAGGGAUACCCGCUGAACUUAA
rnacentral:misc_RNA from 1 species